rnacentral:rRNA from 1 species
CGCGUAGGCGGUUAGUUAAGCUGGAUGUGAAAGCCCCGGGCUCAACCUGGGAACUGCAUUCAGAACUGGCUGGCUAGAGUACGAGAGAGGGUAGUGGAAUUUCCUGUGUAGCGGUGAAAUGCGUAGAUAUAGGAAGGAACAUCAGUGGCGAAGGCGACUGCCUGGCUCGAUACUGACGCUGAGGUGCGAAAGCGUGGGGAGCAAACA